AGUGAACGCUGGCGGUAGGCCUAACACAUGCAAGUCGAACGGCAGCACAGUAAGAGCUUGCUCUUACGGGUGGCGAGUGGCGGACGGGUGAGGAAUACAUCGGAAUCUACUUUUUCGUGGGGGAUAACGUAGGGAAACUUACGCUAAUACCGCAUACGACCUACGGGUGAAAGCAGGGGAUCUUCGGACCUUGCGCGAUUGAAUGAGCCGAUGUCGGAUUAGCUAGUUGGCGGGGUAAAGGCCCACCAAGGCGACGAUCCGUAGCUGGUCUGAGAGGAUGGACCGCCAAAUUGGAAAUGGGACAAGGGUCAAGCCCCCACGGGAGGCAGAAGGGGGGAAUUUUUGGCAAUGGGGGCAAGUCUGACUCAGCCAAGCCGGGGGGGUGAAAAAGGCCUUCGGGUUGUAAAACUCUUUUUGUAGAAAAAAAAAAGCAGGAGUUUAACCCCCCCUUUUUCUGACGGUACCAAAAAAAAAAGCCCGGGCUAACUUGGUG
rnacentral:rRNA from 1 species